GGGGAUAUAGCUCAGCUGGGAGAGCAGCAGACUGAAGUCAAGAAGUUUCUUUCUUAUGUUGUUCUGAAGGUCCCGCCUUCGAUCCGCGGUAUCCCCG